CCUACGGGUGGCAGCAGUGGGGAAUAUUGCACAAUGGGGGAAAGCCUGAUGCAGCGACGCCGCGUGAGUGAAGAAGUAUUUCGGUAUGUAAAGCUCUAUCAGCAGGGAAGAAAAUUACGUUACCUGAUUAAGAAGCCCCGGCUAACUACGUGCCAGCAACCGCGGUAAUACGGAGGGGGCACAGGUUAUACGGAUUUACUUGGUGUAAAGGGAGCGUAGACGGCAGCACAAGUCUGGAGUGAAAUGCCGGGGCUUAACCCCGGAACUGCUUUUGAAACUGGGCAGCUAGAGUGCAGGAGAGGUAAGUGGAAUUCCUAGUGUAGCGGUGAAAUGCGUAGAUAUUAGGAGGAACACCAGUGGCGAAGGCGGCUUACUGGACUGUAACUGACGUUGAGGCUCGAAAGCGUGGGGAGCAAACAGGAUUAGAUACCCUUGUAGUC
rnacentral:rRNA from 1 species